rnacentral:rRNA from 1 species
CGUGAGCGCAGCUACACUGCAGUUCAACGGUACUUUUGGUGCUUGGCCCGAAUAGACGAGUGGCGAACGGGUGCGUAGCGCGUAUGCAAUCGGGCUUUUACUAUGGUAUAGCCCAGAGAAAUUUGGAUUAAUCCCCUAUAAUAUCAUUUAAUCGCAUGAUUUUAUGAUUAAAGCAUCGGCGGUAGAUGAUGAGCAUGCGUCCUGAUUAGUUAGUAUGUGAGGUAAGCGGGUCACCUAAACUCCGAUAGGUAGGGGUCCUGAGAGGGAGAUCGCCCACACUGGUACUGAGACACGGUCCAAACUCAUACGGGAGGCAGCAGUGAGGAAUAUUGGACAAUGGACGAAAGUCUGAUCCAGCUAUGCCGCGUGCAGGAUGACGGCCCUAUGGGUUGUAAACUGCUUUUAUACAGGAAGAAAAACUCCGACGUGUCGGAACUUGACGGUACUGUAAGAAUAAGGAUCGACUAACUCCGUGCCAGCAGCCGCGGUAAUACGGAGGAUCCAAGCGUUA